rnacentral:misc_RNA from 1 species
UCGGGCAACGCGCACGGGCAUGUCUGGUCUCGCACUGGGGCAACUGCCUAGACGUAAAUGCGGCGCUACGGAGAACGGGCGAAACGCAGGAAGCCCUUUGCGCGUUCGAGAGACAAAUGCGGCCGCGGCAGGAUGCGCCGCCGCUGGCUUUAAUGUCGGAGGCCGCGCGCUUGACGGCACGCUGUGUUCUACGANNNNCCGCUGUGGUUUUCGUCCCACAUUGGCCGUGGAUCUCGGCUUGCCCGCCUCAGAAUAGUUCGUGC